rnacentral:rRNA from 1 species
ACAUCUGUCCGGUACCGGAAGUUCAAGAAAGUUGGUGACCUGAUGACAAGGGAGCCGGUGACAGAAGCUCCCGUGAACGGCGGCCGUACUGUCCAAAGACAGUGAAAUUCCUUGUCGGCUAAGUUCCGACCCGCAGGAAAGGUG